AUCUCCCCCAAGAGUCCACAUCGACGGGGAGGUUUGGCACCUCGAUGUCGGCUCAUCGCAUCCUGGGGCUGUAGUCGGUCCCAAGGGUUGGGCUGUUCGCCCAUUAAAGCGGUACGCGAGCUGGGUUCAGAACGUCGUGAGACAGUUCGGUCCCUAUCCGUCGCGGGCGCAGGAAAUUUGAGAGGAGCUGUCCUUAGUACGAGAGGACCGGGAUGGACGCACCGCUGGUGUACCAGUUGUUCUGCCAAGGGCAUCGCUGGGUAGCUAUGUGCGGACGGGAUAAGUGCUGAAAGCAUCUAAGCAUGAAGCCCCCCUCAAGAUGAGAUUUCCCAUUCCGCAAGGAAGUAAGAUCCCUGAAAGAUGAUCAGGUUGAUAGGUCUGAGGUGGAAGCGUGGUGACACGUGGAGCUGACAGAUACUAAUAGAUCGAGGACUUAACCUU
rnacentral:rRNA from 1 species